rnacentral:rRNA from 1 species
AGCGAACGUUAGCGGCGGGCCUAACACAUGCAAGUCGAACGCGAAAGGUCUUCGGACUGAGUAGAGUGGCGCACGGGUGAGUAACACGUAGGUAAUCUACCCUUUGGCGGGGGAUAACGUUCCGAAAGGAGCGCUAAUACCGCAUAAGACCACGGAGUCUCCGGACGCUGUGGGAAAAGGUGGCCUCUUCUUGAAAGCUACCACCGAAGGAUGAGCCUGCGUCCCAUCAGCUAGUUGGUAAGGUAAUGGCUUACCAAGGCGAAGACGGGUAGCUGGUUUGAGAGAAUGAUCAGCCACACUGGCACUGGAACACGGGCCAGACUCCUACGGGAGGCAGCAGUGAGGAAUAUUGGGCAAUGGGCGAAAGCCUGACCCAGCCACGCCGCGUGAGUGAUGAAGGCCCUCGGGUCGUAAAGCUCUGUGGAGAGGGACGAAAACCCUGGUUUCGAAAUAGGCUCCAGGCUUGACGGUACCUCUUUAGCAAGCACCGGCUAACUCUGUGCCAGCA